rnacentral:rRNA from 1 species
AUACGGAGGAUCCGAGCGUUAUCCGGAUUUAUUGGGUUUAAAGGGUGCGCAGGCGGGAGAUUAAGUCGGCGGUGAAAUUUUGCAGCUCAACUGUAAAAGUGCCUUCGAAACUGGGUUCCUUGAGUGUAGAUGAAGUAGGCGGAAUUUGUGGUGUAGCGGUGAAAUGCAUAGAUAUCACGAGGAACUCCGAUUGCGCAGGCAGCUUGCUAAACUACUACUGACGCUCAGGCACGAAGGCGUGGGGAUCAAACAGGAUUAGAUACCCUGGUAGUCCACGCAGUAAACGAUGAUUACUAGCUGUUUGCGAUACAAUGUAAGCGGCUGAGCGAAAGCGUUAAGUAAUCCACCUGGGGAGUACGUUCGCAAGAAUGAAACUCAAAUGAAUUGACGGGG